GCCUCUGUGGGCUCAGUGGUAGAGCAUCUGUCUUGGUAACAGCAAGGUUCCCCCGGUUCAAUCCGCGGGCGGAGGCA
rnacentral:tRNA from 1 species